rnacentral:RNase_P_RNA from 3 species
GCAGUUGGCCGGUCUGUCGCGUGCACGUUUUCGUGCAGGAGGAAAGUCCGGGCAACACAGAGCAUCCUACUUCCUAACAGAAAGCUGUCCGUGAGGGUAGAGUAACGUAGAAGAAAAUAACCGCCAUUCCUUUCGGGGAGAGGUAAGGGUGAGAAGGUGGAGUAAGAGCCCACCAGCCGCAUGGUGACAUGUCGGGCUGUACGUCUUAGGAGUUGUAAGGUCAUGUAAACCGGCGUUAUGAGAGUUGCUCGCUCCAUGUCGGAGGGUAGACCGCUAAAGUGCCGUGGUGACACGUCACUCAGAUAAAUGACAGACACCUUAUUUAUAUAAGGUACAGAACUCGGCUUAUAGGCUGACUGCUUUU